GCGUGCGUCUAUAACUUUGUGUUGCUUGCUGCUGCUGGUGGUUAGGAGAAGGAAUGUGGAAGUCAGUAGAGUGCAGGGUGACAGGCUGGUCGGGCGAGCUGCACCAGCAGCAUUAUUUCUCCCUGGCAGAUCAUUUGCUUUUCCCCUUCUGUUUACAGAGGUAUCGUGCGGUUGUUUGCCUUCUCCUCCUUUGCCUUUAAAGGGAAGGCGACUAGAAGCCGAAGACGCAGCAGCAGGAGAAUCAGGAAACCAUGCACCAGCACUGCUUUUUCCUCCUGUGAAUCUGGAUCUUUAUUUUUGCUGGAGAGGGUAGAGGUUGCUGCUGGUUCUUCCCCUUCCCUCCUUCCCCUGCCGAUGUGUCUUGCUCUGUCUCUUUUGCCAGUGUUUUUUAAAUGACUUGAGCGGAGGGGGGAAAAACUGUCAAGAUGGCAGCAGCAGGAGCAAGGAGGUUAUGAAUGUGGUGUUGAUGCUGGAACAAAACCCAUCCUCUUGGCAGCCCGACGGAGGGCUUAAAGCUUCUGGACCUGUUGGAAGACUGGUGAUUUGAUUUGUUUUUGUUUUGCUUUCCUCGCAAGAAGGGUAAAAAAUCCAGAGUGGCUUUUUCUUCCCCUGUUCGGUUGGUUGUGAAAUUUAGUUUUGUAUAUAUAUCUAUAGAUCUGUAUAUUUUUUGGAAAGUGGAAUGCAUAAGUACGGCAAAUGCUAGUGUGCAACUGGAGGUACAUUAAGACUUCAGCUCCCUCUGGGGCGUUUUGAAGGAGGAAAAAGUCAUCAGUGUAAUUUGAAGGACCCCUCUCUCUUUCCCCCGGCCAGAGAGAGAAAAAGGGAAACGUCUGCCAGAGCAGCCGGGAGCAGGCUUGGUGGUGUUGGAGGGGUCUCUCUCCGAUGGAUACAGCGUGAUUGCCAGUGGAGCGCUUCUGCAGCUGCAUGGAGUGAAACAUAAACAAACACACACCACUGAGCUGCACCAACUCCACUGCGUUUGGGCUGCUGCUGGCGCCAUCCCCCCACCCAUCGGGAUCCAGGGGCGCAUCUGGAACCUCUGGCCUUGCCUGAUCCCUUAUUGAUCGCCUUGUGAUUAUUAGUAGUAUUGUGUGUGUGUGUGUGUGUGUGUGUGUGCACUGUCUGCUGGGAGAGGGGGCGGGGGAAGGCAGGAGGCUGCAGGACUUUAAUGGAGAGUGGCAUGUUCACUCGCUCCCCCCUGCCUGGUAGGCACUGAUCCGCAGCGGCAGGAGGAGGACUGGGGUCCGGACCUGUCUAUCCCAUCGCAGCACCAGGAGCAGCAGCAGCGGGAGGAGGGGAAGCCAAGAUGGCAGAGGCGUCUCCCGCUGCCCCCCUCUCCCCCCUGGACGUGGAGCUGGACCCCGAGUUCGAGCCCCAGAGCCGGCCCCGCUCCUGCACUUGGCCCCUACAGAGGCCUGAGUUGCAGGCGAGCCCGGCCAAGCCCUCGGGGGAAGCGGCCGCGGACGCCGCCUCCAUGAUCCCCGAGGAGGAGGACGACGAGGAGGAAGGGGGCAGCUCGCCCAUGGCCAUCGGCAGUGGCGGCGGAGGGGAAGCGCUGGCCCCGGAGGAGGCGGCGCGGCUGCUGGCCCCGCUGUCCGGGGUCGGGACGGAGGGCUCGGGCCAGGCCCCCGGGGCAGCGGCCGCCGGGGGCAGUGGGCUGGGCGGCGGGCAGCCGGCGGCGGCGGCGGCGCCGCGGAAAUGCUCGUCCCGGCGCAACGCGUGGGGCAACCUGUCCUACGCCGACCUGAUCACCCGCGCCAUCGAGAGCGCCCCGGACAAGCGGCUCACCCUGUCCCAGAUCUACGACUGGAUGGUGCGCUGCGUGCCCUACUUCAAGGAUAAGGGCGACAGCAACAGCUCGGCCGGCUGGAAGAACUCAAUCCGGCAUAAUUUGUCACUUCACAGUCGAUUCAUCAGGGUACAGAAUGAAGGAACUGGGAAAAGCUCUUGGUGGAUGAUUAAUCCAGAUGGUGGAAAAGGUGGGAAGCCUCCCCGGAGACGUGCUGUUUCAAUGGACAAUAGCAACAAGUACACAAAGAGCAGAGGCCGAGCAGCUAAGAAAAAGGCAGCCCUGCAAGCUGCACAAGAAGCUAGCGAGGACAGCCCAUCUCAGCUUUCCAAGUGGCCGGGGAGCCCAACUUCCCGCAGCAGUGAUGAGCUGGAUGCUUGGACAGAUUUCCGCUCUCGUACAAAUUCAAAUGCCAGUACAAUAAGUGGCCGUUUGUCACCGAUAUUGGCGAGUACCGAACUCGAUGACGUUCAGGAUGAUGAUGCUCCACUUUCUCCAAUGCUGUACAAUAGUCCAUCAAGCAUGUCCCCAUCGGUAAAUAAACCAUGUACUGUUGAGUUGCCGAGGUUGACUGAUAUGGCAGGCACAAUGAACUUGAAUGAUGGACUGACAGAUAACCUCAUCAUGGAUGAUCUUUUGGACAAUAUAACGCUCCCCUCUCCCCAACAGUCACCAUCAGGGGGGCUCAUGCAAAGAAGCUCCAGUUUUCCGUAUGGUUCCAAAGGUUCCGGACUUGGUUCUCCAUCAAGUAAUUUCAACAGUGCUGUGUUUGGACCAUCAUCUCUGAAUUCUCUUCGUCAGUCUCCCAUGCAAACCAUUCAAGAGAACAAGCAAGCUACCUUUUCUUCCAUUUCUCAUUAUAACAACCAGACGCUGCAGGAUCUGCUGGCAUCUGACUCACUUAGUCACAGUGAUGUCAUGAUGACGCAGUCUGAUCCACUCAUGUCUCAAGCCAGCACAGCUGUGUCUGCCCAGAAUUCACGCAGGAGUAUCAUGCUUCGUAGUGAUCCAAUGAUGUCAUUUGCUGCUCAGUCCAACCAGGGAAGUUUGGUAAAUCAGAACCUGCUCCACCACCAGCAUCAAUCUCAGAAUUCUUCUCUUGGUGGCAGUCGUGCCUUGUCAAAUUCCAUCAGUAACAUGGGCUUAAAUGAUACGAACAACUUGGGGUCGGCCAAACACCAGCAGCAAUCACCUGUCAAUCAGUCUAUGCAAACACUUUCUGACUCGCUCUCAGGCUCUUCUUUGUAUUCCACUAGUGUGAACCUUCCAGUCAUGGGGCAUGAUAAAUUCCCAAGUGAUUUGGACCUGGAUAUUUUCAAUGGAAGCUUGGAAUGUGACAUGGAGUCCAUUAUCCGCAGUGAACUCAUGGAUGCAGAUGGGUUGGAUUUUAACUUCGAUUCCCUCAUCUCAGCUCAGAACGUUGUCAGUCUGAAUGUGGGGAGCUUCACUGGUGCUAAGCAGGCUUCGUCACAGAGUUGGGUGCCAGGCUGAAGGAUCUUUGAGAAAAGGAGAAAUGGGCAAAGCAGGCCAGUUUCAGCAGGAGCACAUUUGCUGUGACUUGCACUUGGGGAACAUCAGUGCGUCACCUUUCUAUUCUGAAGAAGUUUCCAGUGCAGUAUAAUGAACACCAGUGGGAACCAAAGGGGGAAAGCAGUCUGCAUUAGGUAAUGCUUUAGAGUUUCCCUCUUGGCGCCUGAGUUGAGAUCAGGGCUUGGGGGACUUAAUUCGAAUUUAAUAGUGGUGGAAUGAUGUUAUAUAGUGGUAAAUUAAGUGUUAUUGCAUAGAGGGAAAUCCCAUCUCAAACAACUAAGUCACAAAGUAUGCAAAGAGAAGUGGUUCAUAACCUGUGGGGAGCAAGCUGGGGUGAAUAAGACAGGAGGAGGAGGAGGGGGCAGAAUUAAAGGACUGUUGUGUUGUCUGCCACACAGUCACUUGCAAGUUAAAUACAUUGAAAAUACUAAAGCAUUUGAUCGAUUGAUUACCUUGUACCUUCACCUAGUGGAAUUAACAGAGCCAUCAUCUAGGAUUCAAAAUGUUAAUUGCAUAUUAUAGAACAGAACAUAGUUUUGAGCUAUCUGUAGUCAAAAUGAAUUUAUAGUCAGUGAUUUUAAAAAUAUGGACCCUAUUUUCUUAAUAUUGCUUGCAUGCGCGUGCACACAUACACAUUCCCGUUUGUUACAGGUUACACACCACUGUGGAAAAAGUCCAGUGGCCCUCUUCGUUACUGUGGACUUCUGUGUGCAGAGGGCCAAAAUCAGAGCUAUCAUUAGCAAAGCUGCUACAUCUGCUUACACUGGUUCUGAAUUUAGGCAGGCCCUUAAACUGACAUGAGACCUAAAGAGAGAACCCUUUGCCAAAUCUGCUGUCAGCAAGUGGACAGUGAUACCGUUUACAGCUUAUGAUCUUUGUGAGCCCUGCAUUAUUUUCCUAAUGAAGCAGAGACUGUUAAUGGGCCCCUUACCCAAGCGAAGAGCCUCCUUUUUCGGAAUUGAACUCGUUCUAAAGUAUGCAAAAUCUUCCUUUUAUGGGAUGGUCAAGCACCUACUGUGGAGACAAUGUUCAGCACCAUCCUGUUGAGAAUACACUGUGUAGCCUUUACAGUAGUUAUUUGUCAAUGAGUAUGUGGUGUUUCAAUAUAUUAAUGGUUUAUGGGUUAUUUUAAGUUGGCUUCUAUUUUGGGGGGGGUUCUCCAUCUCACCCCUCUAACCUUCAGUUUGUUUUGUUUUUUAAAGAUGUUUUAACCAUUUUCUCUUUCUCUCCUGGUGCAUCUGAAAUACAGUGUAUGCACAAUGAAAGGCUAUACUAAUUACCAUUACCCAACAUAGCUUCAGACAUCAGCACUACCUGUAUGUAGCAUUCAUUACACCAAGCAACUGACUGAAGUCCAGAGAGAGGUGGCUUGUGGGUUUUGUUUGUUUGUUGUCUUUUUUUUUCAAACCUUUUCUUCAAUUUAAUGGUACAUACCUUAUUUUUCAUAAACAGCAAACCAGAGUUGAUUACAUAACGAGAGAAACUAGCAAGGUUGCUAGUCCUGUCCAGUGUUUGUAAGGACUGAGUGAGGGUGCCAUUUCAUCAUUUUUACUGAUUCGGCACCUGAUUUGAUUUGAUCGAUCUCACCUAUUGCAUUAUGUUAGCAGAGCUGCCCUAAUGGUUGCAGUGAAUAGAAUUAGUCUGCCUCAGCAGUUUGGAAACUGGUUGAUCUUAAAACAAGUAAUAAGAUAAGCUGUCCACCCAUUGCCAAACAAGUUGAAUGUAACCACUUGUGAGGAUAUGGUUUAAAAAGGAAAGGGAAGUAAAAUAUAUGACAUUGCAGAAAAGAUAACUUACAGUAUAUGCAUCAACAGUGACUUACAGUAGAGUCAUCAGAAGUUCAAAUGCAGAUCACUGCAGGGUAAGUUAUUACAUCAGUGAUUUUUUUUUUUACAUACAUAUCCUUGAUUAUUUUUUCCUUCUCAAUAUGCGUAAUCCAAUCUGAAAGAAGCUGUAGAGGGAAAGGCAAGAAAGUAAUGCUAAACAAACAGCUUUUCAUAUAAGCUUAGAUUGUAAUUGGAUAAAUGACACUGAAAGACAAGGCAGUUUUAUAUGUUUUGCUUAUAUGGGUUUUGUUUUGUAAAAUGAAUAACAAUGAAUGAAUAAUAAUGAAUAAAAGGUAUGGUGCUGCUGUAUAGAUUUUCUCUAUAGUCUGGAAAGCUUGAUUACUUUUUAUUACUAUUUUUUUGCGGGGGGAGGAAAAAAGAGGAGGAAACACCAAUGGUACAUAAGAACUUGGUAUGAAGACGCUCUGAAUAGGACAGUGUAUACAUACUUCUCCAAAGUGAUAUAUGAAGACUUUUUUCUUUGCAUAAAAGCAUUAUGCAUAUAAAUAUAUAAAUAUAUUUUAUUAUGUACAGAAAUGGAUCAUUAUGCAUGGAUGUUAGGAAAACAAACUAGCAUUUUAACCCAAAGUUUCAGUGCAUGAGUUCCCACUGACACAUGUACCAUGCAAUGUGGAGUGACUCCCUUUCACCGCUACCACCACACAUGCACGCAUACACACACACACACAAACUCACACGCACACAUUUGUGGGCCCCAUCUUGCUCCUUACUUUCCAGUUUCCUGAAGUAAUAUUGGUGAAAUAACAGCUCCUAGUGUGAUGGAAAUUUUGUUUUGUAUUGUAACCUCCUCAUGCUCGUGCUGUUCUAUUUUAUAGAUGAACCUGUUGAUUUCAUCCUGCCCUUUACUGAAUAUGUAAACUCUGUGCAGUUGUGAUUAUAGUAGACCCGUAGCAUAUCAAGCAGCUAAGAGUUUAUCAUUUUCAUUAGGUGAAACAACAUUUUUUUUAAAUUAAGGUGGUCUAUUUAUCAAUGGCAGGGACUAGUUUAUUGUUUUUUCUUUAUCAUCAGAAUUAGUUGAUGAUGCACAUUACUGAUCUCCCCAGCUGAGGUGAUAUUUCGGGUACCCAGCUACCCAGUACGACAAUGGUGUACAGCAGUCAUCUGUUUUAGGGGUCAGUUCACUUACAGGAGUCCAGAUGCAGGCACCUUUUACCAAAGUUAGUAAAGAGCUUUACUGCAAGCCUUCACUGUACUCGGCGUGUAUAACAGUAUCUGUCAGGUUUUUGGUACAUCAUUAAAUGUGAAUUAAACUGAGGGUGUUUUUCUUUCUUUGUCUUCUGUGGUAUUGUGCUUGCUGAUUGACACUUUUCAAUCUUAAAGUCUCACUCUCUGAUUAAUAGGAGGGCUGUGCACAAGUACUCUGGUACAAAGCAGGCUUUGUAUUUAUUUCUGGUGUGACGUUUUGUUGAACUAUCUAUUGUCCACUGGAGGAUGGAAUACAUCGUGGCGCUGUCAUAGAGCAAGCAGCAGAUUCUCCCUUUCACGCGGUCUAAUUUAAGGCAGGUUACAAAUACAUAGGUAGGACAGGAUUCUGGUACUGAAUCUACCUACCGUAUAUAUUCACUGACUGCACCUUUUUUAUUUGGAUUUCUUGGAGAAAUAUUGGACCAACCUGUCUGCUCACAUAACUUAAAUGGCAUAGUGCCAACAGAAAAUUUGGCCCACUUUAUAGAGCAGAAUAACAAAACAUAUUGGGCCAAAUUCUGCUCUCAGUUACGAUGGUGUAAAUCUGGAAUAACUGAUGGUAGUGAGUUACUCCAGAUUUACAGCACUGUCUCUCCCUGAUGCACAACCCAAGCACCCAGUCUCUGCUCUAGGGAUCUUCUUGGGAGCAGGAACAAGGAAUCCUCCUCUCCAGGCCACUCCAUAGCUGGUACUCCAGCAUCAGAGCAGGAAUAGCCUUAGCACUGCCUUGCCUGUGUGCCCCUCCACAGCGGGGAAUGGCCAUCAGAUCCACGUAGCAGCAGAUCCACCAACUGUGCCCCAUCCCCGAAUCCCUUCUGUGCAGUACAUACUGAGAUGAGCUCCACGUCUUCAGAUAUUCAACUCCUGCAGACUCACACUGCAGCAGAACUGCCCCUCUUCUUCCACUGCAGGCAGAACCUGCUUGUACCCAUUUUGGAGGACAGGAUUUAUGCCAGUGACCAGGAUUUGCCCCAUCGUUCACAGUUGCACACAAGGAGAUAAGGCCCAGUGCUGCAGUCUUUACUCAGAUGAAAUCUCCCAUUAAAUGGGCUUGCCUGCAUAAGGAUUGCAGAUUGUGUUGUUAGAGUCCUUUGUUAACACCAACAAAGUUUUUUGUUUUGACGUUAUGACUACGGCAACAAAGACGAGUAAUUUUAUUUUUUCUUGGUACGGAACUAAUAUGUCUAAUGGAAGGGAAGGACUGCUUGUUUGAACAAACUGGGCUAAACUUUGUUACUGCAGUGUUAAUGCAGCGUGACUCCCAUUAUGUCAGAUUUGCAAAAUAUGGUCCACUUUUUUUUAGAAAAUGAAGAAAUACCAGUCGGUUCAGAGACAUCCAAUGAAUGGCAGAGAAGUUAUAGAACCUUUCAAACAAAUCAAAAUCAAAGCACAAGCAAAUAAGGGGCCUCCCACUGAAGUUAUUAUUCAGUGCUCCCACUGAAGUUAAUGACAAAACUCUCAUUGGCUUCCGCAGUGCAGUUUUGGCCUCCUAGUGUUAGGGGGAAAAAACCUGCACUACCUGGGGAGGGAUGGACUAGAAAAACAUAGAGGUUUUUCUCUCUCUAAUUUUGGCGGCCAACAUUUUCAAACUUAAAUAUGUGAAGUUAAGCACCUACGGCUGGAAUUUUCAAGGGGCAUAAGGGAGUUAGGUGCUCUGCUUUCAUUGUUUUUCAGUGGGAGUAGGGUGCCUCAUUCCUUGAGACCCCUUGGAAAAUCCCAGGCCUAAAUGUAUAUUUAGGCACAUAAAAAGGGCCCCAAUUUUCAGAGGUGCAGAAUAGUCACAUCUCUUAGAGCAUCCAACGGCAGCCACGGGGACUGAGCACCUUUGAAAAUCAGAUCACUUAUUUAGGUGCCAAAGUAUGGAUUCAGGAACCCCGUUUUUGAAACUUUGGCCUUUGUUCCAGGAAUAUUUUUGAGCAUUAACACCCCCCCCCACACACACACACACACAAAAAUCAUGCCCAACACAUAAAGUCUCAGAACACAUGCACAGGUUAUUGUUUAAAUGUUGUGUUUUAAAACAUUCUAAAAAGGGUAAUGCUUAUGCAGUUUAGACAAGUCUGCUUUUAUUUAAUUUUCUUUGUGAAAUAUCUUCUCAUAUGAAUAGCUGGUUAAUAGGCCACUACCUAACUCCAGAAAUAUUUGUACUACUGCUUUACAAAGCUAAAUGUUAGGACAUAUAUUGCUCUAAAAUUAUGUCAUUGCUUGGCAAUCAGUCUCCUAUAAUUGUUUUAGUACAUUAUGUACACUGGAAAUGUGAACACAUGUGCAGGAGGACCAGAUGCAUUUUGUUAAUAUCGGAGGGAGGGGGAGAGAAUGAUUGUACGUUUUGGCUUCACAUGUUAAACUUUUUUUAAAAAAAAAAGUUGCAUGACUGGAAAAUAACAUGUAUACAGUAUCUGUAAACCUGUUUUAUCUGUUUUUGUUUCACCAUGUCAAGCCAUAUAAAUUGGAAAAAUAUUAAAUCGACAGCCUUUAUGCAUGGCUGCCUUUACAUACUGAAGAAUUGAAGAAUUAAUUUGGGCUUUCUUGCACUUUCAUGUUGCGUUCUUACUGAGGACUUUAUAAAUUAGUUGCUGCCCUGGAUGAAUAUACUACCUUACUACACAAAGAUUGGAAACACGUUUGAUUUUAAAAUCUUCCCCUUUCCAAAUGAAGUAGAGAUGCAGUGCUUACUCCACUUGGUGUUAGUAGAUAUUGCCUUGUGUAUUCCAUUUUAAAUUGUAAUCUAGUUUGUAAAAGAGAUGGUGCCGCAUGUAAAUAAAGCAUAAUGGAUCUCUA